rnacentral:miRNA from 1 species
AGUGGCGUAGAUCCCCACAAC